GAUGAACGCUGGCGGCGUGCUUAACACAUGCAAGUCGAACGGGAAACCUUUUAUUGACGCUUCGGCAGCUUUAGCUGGCUUCUAGUGGCGGACGGAGGAGUAACGCCUGGGUAACGUGCCUUCUACAGGGGAAUAACAGUCAGAACUGACUGCUAAUACCGCAUCAGCGUCUGGGACCGAAUGUUCCGGUGGGUAAAACUCCGGUGGUAUAAGAUGGACCCGCGUUGGAUUAGCUUGGUGGUGGGGUCACGGCCGACCAAGGCGACGAUCCAUGGCCGGCAUGAGAGCGUGCACGGCUGGAUUGGGACUGAGACACGGCCCAGACUGCUACGGGAGGGUGCAGUGGGGAAUAUUGCGCAAGGAGGGCAACCGUGAUACAGCGGCGUGCCGUGAAGGAGGAAGUAUCUCGUUAUGUAAACUUCUAUCAGCAGAGAAGUGAGUGACGGUACCUGACAAAGAAGCCCCGGCUAACUACGUG
rnacentral:rRNA from 1 species